GACAUGCAGAGAACUUUCCAGAGAUGGAUUGGUGGCCUUCGGGAACUCUGACACAGGUGCUGCAUGGCUGCCGUCAGCUCGUGUCGUGAGAUGUUGGGUUAAGUCCCGUAACGAGCGCAACCCUUGUCCUUAGUUACCAGCACGUUAUGGUGGGCACUCUAAGGAGACUGCCGGUGACAAACCGGAGGAAGGUGGGGAUGACGUCAAGUCAUCAUGGCCCUUACGGCCUGGGCUACACACGUGCUACAAUGGUCGGUACAAAGGGUUGCCAAGCCGCGAGGUGGAGCUAAUCCCAUAAAACCGAUCGUAGUCCGGAUCGCAGUCUGCAACUCGACUGCGUGAAGUCGGAAUCGCUAGUAAUCGUGAAUCAGAAUGUCACGGUGAAUACGUUCCCGGGCCUC
rnacentral:rRNA from 1 species